CCUACGGGUGGCAGCAGGGGGGGAUAUUGCACAAUGGGGGGAACCCUGAUGCAGCGACGCCGCGGGGGUGAAGAAGCGCCUCGGCGCGUAAAGCCCUGUCAGCAGGGAAGAAAAUGACGGUACCUGAAGAAGAAGCCCCGGCUAACUACGUGCCAGCAGCCGCGGUAAUACGUAGGGGGCAAGCGUUAUCCGGAUUUACUGGGGGGAAAGGGGGCGCCGACGGCGAGGCAAGCCAGGAGUGAAAGCCCGGGGCCCAACCCCGGGACGGCUCUUGGAACUGCGUGGCUGGAGUGCAGGAGGGGCAGGCUGAAUUCCUGGUGUAGCGGUGAAAUGCGUAGAUAUCAGGAGGACCCCCGGUGGCGACGGCGGCCUGCUGGACUGCAACUGCCGUUGAGGCCCGAACGCGUGGGGAGCAAACAGGAUUAGCUACCCCAGUAGUC
rnacentral:rRNA from 1 species